rnacentral:rRNA from 1 species
GAUGAACGCUGGCGGCGUGCCUAAUACAUGCAAGUCGAGCGAACGGACGAGAAGCUUGCUUCUCUGAUGUUAGCGGCGGACGGGUGAGUAACACGUGGAUAACCUACCUAUAAGACUGGGAUAACUUCGGGAAACCGGAGCUAAUACCGGAUGAUAUUUUGAACCGCAUGGUUCAAAAGUGAAAGACGGUCUUGCUGUCACUUAUAGAUGGAUCCGCGCUGCAUUAGCUAGUUGGUAAGGUAACGGCUUACCAAGGCAACGAUGCAUAGCCGACCUGAGAGGGUGAUCGGCCACACUGGAACUGAGACACGGUCCAGACUCCUACGGGAGGCAGCAGUAGGGAAUCUUCCGCAAUGGGCGAAAGCCUGACGGAGCAACGCCGCGUGAGUGAUGAAGGUCGUCGGAUCGUAAAACUCUGUUAUUAGGGAAGAACAUAUGUGUAAGUAACUGUGCACAUCGUGACGGUACCUAAUCAGAAAGCCACGGCUAACUACG